rnacentral:rRNA from 1 species
UACGUAGGUGGCAAGCGUUAUCCGGAUUUAUCGGGCGUAAAGGGAACGCAGGCGGUCUUUUAAGUCUGAUGUGAAAGCCUUCGGCUUAACCGGAGUAGUGCAUUGGAAACUGGGAGACUUGAGUGCAGAAGAGGAGAGUGGAACUCCAUGUGUAGCGGUGAAAUGCGUAGAUAUAUGGAAGAACACCAGUGGCGAAAGCGGCUCUCUGGUCUGUAACUGACGCUGAGGUUCGAAAGCGUGGGUAGCAAACAGG